rnacentral:rRNA from 1 species
GAUUGAACGCUGGCGGCAGGCCUAACACAUGCAAGUCGAGCGGAUGAAGGGAGCUUGCUCCUGGAUUCAGCGGCGGACGGGUGAGUAAUGCCUAGGAAUCUGCCUGGUAGUGGGGGAUAACGUCCGGAAACGGGCGCUAAUACCGCAUACGUCCUGAGGGAGAAAGUGGGGGAUCUUCGGACCUCACGCUAUCAGAUGAGCCUAGGUCGGAUUAGCUAGUUGGUGGGGUAAAGGCCUACCAAGGCGACGAUCCGUAACUGGUCUGAGAGGAUGAUCAGUCACACUGGAACUGAGACACGGUCCAGACUCCUACGGGAGGCAGCAGUGGGGAAUAUUGGACAAUGGGCGAAAGCCUGAUCCAGCCAUGCCGCGUGUGUGAAGAAGGUCUUCGGAUUGUAAAGCACUUUAAGUUGGGAGGAAGGGCAGUAAGUUAACACCUUGCUGUUUUGACGUUACCAACAGAAUAAGCACCGGCUAACUUCGUG